rnacentral:lncRNA from 1 species
AGGUUCCAGGUCCCUGCAGCCCACAGGCAAUGGUUCCUUCAGGUUUGACAAUCCUGCUAUUUCAGUAUCAGCCUUGGGGCAUGAGAACAUUGGUGCACUGGAAGAUGCUGCAUCUAGGGACCAAUCUCCCUGGCUGGAGUCACUGCUAGGGAUAUCUUGGCACCUCCCCAGCCCAGCACACUGCCAAGGAGAAAGGCCAGGUCAGCUGCAGGAGCACCUAACCUUUGCAGACUCUUCACAGGCAACAGGCAUGGAAUAGGAGAAUGCAGAUGAACCAGUCAUAGUAAAGAUACUAUCUUUAGUGAACAUUCGCUAUGUUUGGGGCUGCCCAUCACCCACACUCUCUUCUUAUUUGGGAAUAAACCUCCCAGAAUAUGCAUCUUGGAGGGACAUGCGGCUCCAUCUCCUAUGAUAGGAUCUGGAAGUUGCCACAUCAAGCUUUUCUCCACUCCUAGGCAAUCUACGCACUGUGUUCUUCUCUGAAUUCUAGGUAGGUAAGAACAUGAAGACCCAGUGCCUAGCACUGUUGCCAACACAGUAGAUAAUAAUUGUCUGUUGAACAAAUGAAUAAGGGAGCCAGUGGACAAGUUAAUGCGGAAGCAGUAAACCAAAGCAGAAAGAGGAGUCCGCUGCUCGUGGGCACCAAGAAGGCG